rnacentral:rRNA from 1 species
CCUACGGGAGGCAGCAGUGGGGAAUAUUGGGCAAUGGGCGCAAGCCUGACCCAGCAACGCCGCGUGAAGGAAGAAGGCUUUCGGGUUGUAAACUUCUUUUCUCAGGGACGAAGCUAGUGACGGUACCCGAGGAAUAAGCCACGGAUAACUACGUGCCAGCAGCCGUGGUAAUACGUAGGUGGCAAGCGUUAUCCGGAUUUACUGGGUGUAAAGGGCGUGUAGGCGGGACUGCAAGUCAGAUGUGAAAACCACGGGCCCAACCUGUGGCCUGCAUUUGAAACUGUAGUUCUUGAGUACUGGAGGGGCAGGCGGAAUUCCUGGUGUAGCGGUGAAAUGCGUAGAUAUUAGGAGGAACACAGGUGGCGAAGGCGGUCUGCUGGACAGCGACUGACGCUGAGGCGCGAAAGCGUGGGGAGCGAACAGGAUUAGAUACCCGAGUAGUC